GAUGAGCGCUGGCGGCGUGCCUAAUACAUGCAAGUCGAGCGAACGGACGAGAAGCUUGCUUUUCUGAUGUUAGCGGCGGACGGGUGAGUAACACGUGGAUAACCUACCUAUAAGACUGGGAUAACUUCGGGAAACCGGAGCUAAUACCGGUUAAUAUUUUGAACCGCAUGGUUCAAAAGUGAAAGACGGUCUUGCUGUCACUUAUAGAUGGAUCCGCGCUGCAUUAGCUAGUUGGUAAGGUAACGGCUUACCAAGGCAACGAUGCAUAGCCGACCUGAGAGGGGGAUCGGCCACACUGGAACUGAGACACGGUCCAGACUCCUACGGGAGGCAGCAGUAGGGAAUCUUCCGCAAUGGGCGAAAGCCUGACGGAGCAACGCCGCGUGAGUGAUGAAGGUCUUCGGAUCGUAAAACUCUGUUAUUAGGGAAGAACAUAUGUGUAAGUAACUGUGCACAUCUUGACGGUGCCUAAUCAGAAAGCCACGGCUAACUACGUG
rnacentral:rRNA from 1 species